rnacentral:lncRNA from 1 species
GCUGAAACACAGAAAAAACGCUGCCAAAUGUUGAAACAAACAAGCUAAACACCAGUCAACUACAACUUCAUCCAACCAGAUUGGAGUCAUCCAUAACAAGCUGAUUCAAUGAAAAUAUCCAUGGCAUUAAGUAAUUGUGUUAUAACCAUUACCACUAUAUCACCUAUAACAUUUUCUAAAUUCAUAUGUAAUUUACCAUUACGAUUGCGG